UACAGAGGUGGCAAGCGUUGUUCGGAAUUACUGGGCGUAAAGGGCGCGUAGGCGGCGUAACAAGUCACUUGUGAAAUCCCCGGGCUCAACCUGGGAAUUGCAGUCGAGACUGCUCGGCUAGAGUGUGGGAGAGGGUGGUGGAAUUCCCGGUGUAGCGGUGAAAUGCGUAGAUAUCGGAAGGAACAUCAGUGGCGAAAGCGACUUCCUGGACCAAUACUGACGCUCAUGUGCGAAAGCGUGGGGAGCAAACCGG
rnacentral:rRNA from 1 species